rnacentral:rRNA from 1 species
UACGGAGGGUGCGAGCGUUAAUCGGAAUAACUGGGCGUAAAGGGCACGCAGGCGGUGACUUAAGUGAGGAGUGAAAGCCCCGGGCUUAACCUGGGAAUUGCAUUUCAUACUGGGUCGCUAGAGUACUUUAGGGAGGGGUAGAAUUCCACGUGUAGCGGUGAAAUGCGUAGAGAUGUGGAGGAAUACCGAAGGCGAAGGCAGCCCCUUGGGAAUGUACUGACGCUCAUGUGCGAAAGCGUGGGGAGCAAACAGG